rnacentral:rRNA from 1 species
AUUGAACGCUGGCGGCAGGCCUAACACAUGCAAGUCGAGCGGAUGAAGGGAGCUUGCUCCUGGAUUCAGCGGCGGACGGGUGAGUAAUGCCUAGGAAUCCGCCUGGUAGUGGGGGAUAACGUCCGGAAACGGGCGCUAAUACCGCAUACGUCCUGAGAGAGAAAGUGGGGGAUCUUCGGACCUCACGCUAUCAGAUGAGCCUAGGUCGGAUUAGCGAGUUGGGGGGGUAAAGGCCUACCAAGGCGACGAUCCGUAACUGGGCUGAGAGGAUGAGCAGCCACACUGGAACUUAGACACGGGCCCGACCCCCACGGGAGGCAGCAGUGGGGAAUAUUGGACAAUGGGCGCAAGCCUUAUCCAGCCAUACCGCGUGGUUUAAAAAAGCUUUCGGGUUUUAAAGCCCUUUUAUUUUGGAAGGAAAGCAGCAAGUUUAAACCCUGCUUUUUUUGCGGUUCCCAAAGAAAAAGCCCCGGCUAACUUCGUG